rfam:Mycobacterium lacus strain DSM 44577 contig_139, whole genome shotgun sequence.
CGCACUCGUGCGGGAGAGUUCUGUGGCCGCCAGCUACAGACGCCGAAGGAGCAACACCUCUCCGUCAACCUCUCAGGCACCCGGACCGCGCGGAAUAA